GACGAACGCUGGCGGCGUGCUUAACACAUGCAAGUCGAACGGAAAGGCCCUGCUUGCAGGGUACUCGAGUGGCGAACGGGUGAGUAACACGUGGGUGAUCUGCCCUGCACUUCGGGAUAAGCCUGGGAAACUGGGUCUAAUACCGGAUAGGAGCCAUUUUUAGUGUGAUGGUUGGAAAGUUUUUUCGGUGUAGGAUGAGCUCGCGGCCUAUCAGCUUGUUGGUGGGGUAAUGGCCUACCAAGGCGGCGACGGGUAGCCGGCCUGAGAGGGUGGACGGCCACAUUGGGACUGAGAUACGGCCCAGACUCCUACGGGAGGCAGCAGUGGGGAAUAUUGCACAAUGGGCGCAAGCCUGAUGCUGCGACGCCGCGUGGGGGAUGACGGCCUUCGGGUUGUAAACUCCUUUCGCUAGGGACGAAGCUUUUUGUGACGGUACCUAGAUAAGAAGCACCGGCUAACUACGU
rnacentral:rRNA from 1 species